rnacentral:rRNA from 1 species
GCGACUGAGGUGACAGAAGGGGGUGGUAGACGUAGGGUGCAACGUUGAAUCGGAAUUACUGUGCGUAAAGCGUGCGCAGGCGGUUAUAUAAGACAGAUGGGAAAUCCCCGGGCUCAACCUGGGAACUGCAUUUGUGACUGUAUGGCUAGAGUACGGCAGAGGGGGAUGGAAUUCCGCGUGUAGCAGUGAAAUGCGUAGAUAUGCGGAGGAACACCGAUGGCGAAGGCAAUCCCCUGGGCCUGUACUGACGCUCAUGCACGAAAGCGUGGGGAGCAAACAGGAUUAGAUACCCGGGUAGUC